AUUUAGCCCCGAUUGAAGCUUGUAUCCUUUUGGCUCAUUUUUCUUGAGCCAAAAGAUACUGCGAAAAGCGGGAUUAUGG
rfam:Flavobacterium psychrophilum JIP02/86 complete genome